rnacentral:rRNA from 11 species
AAAUUGAAGAGUUUGAUCAUGGCUCAGAUUGAACGCUGGCGGCAGGCCUAACACAUGCAAGUCGAACGGUAACAGGAAGCAGCUUGC